rnacentral:rRNA from 1 species
AGAGUUUGAUCCUGGCUCAGGAUGAACGCUAGCUACAGGCUUAACACAUGCAAGUCGAGGGGCAGCAUGGUCUUAGCUUGCUAAGGCCGAUGGCGACCGGCGCACGGGUGAGUAACACGUAUCCAACCUGCCGUCUACUCUUGGACAGCCUUCUGAAAGGAAGAUUAAUACAAGAUGGCAUCAUGAGUUCACAUGUUCACAUGAUUAAAGGUAUUCCGGUAGACGAUGGGGAUGCGUUCCAUUAGAUAGUAGGCGGGGUAACGGCCCACCUAGUCUUCGAUGGAUAGGGGUUCUGAGAGGAAGGUCCCCCACAUUGGAACUGAGACACGGUCCAAACUCCUACGGGAGGCAGCAGUGAGGAAUAUUGGUCAAUGGGCGCAGGCCUGAACCAGCCAAGUAGCGUGAAGGAUGACUGCCCUAUGGGUUGUAAACUUCUUUUAUAAAGGAAUAAAGUCGGGUAUGGAUACCCGUUUGCAUGUACUUUAUGAAUAAGGAUCGGCUAACUCCGUGCCAGCAGCCGCGGUAAUACGGAGGAUCCGAGCGUUAUCCGGAUUUAUUGGGUUUAAAGGGAGCGUAGAUGGAUGUUUAAGUCAGUUGUGAAAGUUUGCGGCUCAACCGUAAAAUUGCAGUUGAUACUGGAUAUCUUGAGUGCAGUUGAGGCAGGCGGAAUUCGUGGUGUAGCGGUGAAAUGCUUAGAUAUCACGAAGAACUCCGAUUGCGAAGGCAGCCUGCUAAGCUGCAACUGACAUUGAGGCUCGAAAGUGUGGGUAUCAAACAGGAUUAGAUACCCUGGUAGUCCACACAGUAAACGAUGAAUACUCGCUGUUUGCGAUAUACAGUAAGCGGCCAAGCGAAAGCGUUAAGUAUUCCACCUGGGGAGUACGCCGGCAACGGUGAAACUCAAAGGAAUUGACGGGGGCCCGCACAAGCGGAGGAACAUGUGGUUUAA